UGUUGCCUCCAGGCUCUGAGACGGCAGAAGACAUGACAUUGCUUUAAUCUCGAAGGGGUCAAGAGUUUAAAGCGGCUGCCAGCUGGCUCAACUGCUGGGCGCCCUGUAGGGACCCUCUUGGACCCCCUUGUAAGCCCUGGCCUACGCUUAGCAGUGCUGGUCGGUUGCACCCUUAUGUGACGGGCCCGGCGACGUCUUGCUGCAGCGGUAGCCUUGAGUGCCAGCAUCAGUCCUGUCCCAUGGCUGCUGUUCUGAACACAAGCAAGCUCCUCUCCAAGGCCCUUCAUGAUAUCAAGGCUCUCUAUGUAAAGUAUGACGAGAAAGCGAUGUGCUCAGCAUUCACAAUGCUCAUGUUACGCAAGGCCUUCAAGGGAUGUGGCCAAAGGACAACCUGCGGAAACUGUACGUGCUCUCAAUCGGCGCUGUGGUCUUCCGAGCAAAGUUGACCUUUGCUGAAGAUCCGAGUGUGACAAACUGAAGCAGCAGACAGCUCCAAGACAUGAUCUGUGCAAGUCACAUUUAGAAGAGCUGCAAAAAACAAAAACAAAAAAAUGAAAGGUGUAUCCCCAGUGUUUAUGUACUUUAAUUACAAUCAUUUAAAACUUGGUGAAUCAAUGGCACUGCAGAAAGCCGAUAAAUGCUCGUCAAACUGUGGAAAUACAAAAAGAAGCAUAUGAUUUUACCAUACGUAUGAACGCUGCUUCUUUCCGUUGCCCCCAAAAAGCACAUGGUACAGCUAAGCGUACUUAGGAACUGACAACUGAGAACGUAGCAGAUGUUGAACAUAAAAAAUUUUCUUGCUUAAAACAAGUCACGCUAAUUGAAUUUUCAAUUGAACUUUGCUCAAUAACUUUUCUUUGUAUGCGCUUUCAAAGAAGUGCGGGCAUGAAAUUUUAGUUUGACUGCAUCACCAAAGCGCGUAAACAUACAUAGUUUAUUUAAAUUAUACUCUCAAUGCCCCCAACAUUGUACAGAGGAGAGGGGUUAAUAUAUUUAUGCUAUACAAUGUUAUGCAAGACCACUUGAAAAGAUUAAUUGGUCUGACUUGUUGGCAACUGAGUGGAGAAGGUGGUUCUAAAGUUUAGAUGUAAACUCGCAAAGGCUUAUGGGAUGCACGUGGUCUGCACUGGCUUCUGGUUUAAUGGCUCUCCAUCCGUCUGCUGCGUCCCUCUUAAGGUAUCGCUGUGCUCUCUUUCUUCAUAGCAACCCAACGUGUAUGCUGUGAAUUUCUAGAGCACGUUAGCAUAGCCGCACCUACGACUGACCACGAAAAGAAAGCAUGUGCUGUCGUGAAAUAUUUUCAAGUGGCAAACAACAGGUUGUACAUGCUAUCACAAUUCAGCGUUUCUUCGGAAUAAUAAGUGGCAUGGACUUGGCUGUCACGUUCUUCAACUAUUUUACACUUGUAUAUUAAUGCAGGGUGCCCACUAACGUGCUUAUUCUUACAGGUUUCCAUCUUUGGGGGUGCUCAGCUGCUUUUGCAUUUGUAGUUGCACUGCAGCUCGCAUCAAUGUUCAUUGUGUGAAAGGGGUAUCCAUUAUUACUGAAACUAUGCGUUCAACGGCAACGGCCUGGAAAACUGUUCAAUCCUUCGUUUGUGAUAACCUCGACUAUAUUACAGCCCUGACAAAGCUUUAAAAAGCUAAAUAUGUCGGCGGCAACUUUAUUUAGCAAAGUCGAGCUUGUUUGGCGUUUACAUAUUGCAUCGUGUCGGUAAACAAGCUGGUCGAGACGACACUCAACCCAUAGUCAGGCGCUGUGCUUGUUAUGCGUAGUUACCUUUUCUGCUCCAUGUGCACUGGAUGAGGUAUGAAUAAACCGAUUACUAAAAGAAA
rnacentral:lncRNA from 1 species